rnacentral:rRNA from 1 species
UACGUAGGGGGCAAGCGUUGUCCGGAAUUAUUGGGCGUAAAGCGCGUGUAGGCGGCCCUGCAAGUCGGAUGUGAAAUCCCACGGCUCAACCGUGGAAGUGCAUUCGAAACUGCAGGGCUAGAGUCCUGGAGAGGAAGGUGGAAUGCUUGGUGUAGAGGUGAAAUUCGUAGAUAUCAAGCGGAACACCGGUGGCGAAGGCGGGUCUCUGGGCAGUAACUGACGCUGAGGAGCGAAAGCGUGGGGAGCGAACAGG